GGUAAUGACAUUCACUCGUGAGAUAAGUAUAAGUAUAACAACCCAAGUGGGUUGACAUUAAUAUUUUGGAUAAAUUACAUUGACCUCCCUUAAAAUCCUCUUUCGCUUCCAGUUUUCAAACUCUCUGAAUUAAAAGAGAAAGACUAAAAUGUACUUUUGGCCACCUAUGUUUGAUUCCGUAAUAAUUUAGACCCCUAUUAAAAAAAACACUUUUCAGCCCCCUAACUUCACCCCUUUUGCAAACUCAUAGGUCCCUCUGAUUUUGACCAGGUCAAAAUUCAAGUGGCCACUUAAUAAACGCCACGUGGCUAAUUUCUAAAUUAAAAAUAAAUAAAAAUGCACAUAUUUUGGAAUGAAAUUAAAAAAAAAAUAAAGGGGUACGUGAUGAACAAUAACGAUACAACAACAUCAUCAUCUUCUUCACAACUCCUUACCCCAGAAAAACAGAAAAACUCAUUAACUCAUGAAUACCCAGAAAACUGCGAUACCAAUUCACCUCCUCCCUCAACUCAACGCCGCCACCGCAUCCGCAAUAUUCUCAAACCCUUCAUUACAAGUUACAACCCUUAUGCAAUUUCCUUCUUCAACCCUUCUGCAACCUGACGCCGACACCACAUCCUUCUUCUCCAUCGUCUUCUUCUUCGUCCACCACCACAUCGCCGAAUCUCGCAUGAACAUCACUCAACCCCUUUGCAGCGCCAUGAUUAAUUCGUUUUCGGCGUUGAUUUCUUCGUCGGCGUUGAUGGGGUUUGGAAGGGAAUGAAAGAGAGUAAGAGACCCUAACAAACUGGACUUGACUUUUCAUGCCAUCAUCCUCGUUAAUUUUUCUUCGGAAAAUCUAUGCUAUAAAUUUUGAAAUUGUGUUCCAUUAAUCUGGCAGAUCUCAGUUGUUGUAUGUGAUUGGUCGAUAAGUAUAAAAACAUGGAAUGGAUUGGUGUUUUGGCUGAACAAAGGGUUAUGAAUCUAACCUAAUUUCAAGAUUAUGAUGCUUGGUAAAGGUUUCAUGGAAGGAGGAAGAAGGAAUAAUAUGGAUUGUUGGAUGUUUUGAUUAUGAAAUGAAAGAAGAAGAAACGUGAAAAGCUGGAUUCAAGGAAUAUUGUUUUAUUUUUUUUAUUUAUUUUUAUAUAUUUUAAUUUAUUUAAGAAUAAAAUUAUAUAAUUUUAAUCCAUUAAUAUGGUAUAAUUUUAAAAAAAUUCCACGUGGCGUCCAACUCAGUCAAGUGAGUGGCCACAUGGGCUUUGACAAAAUUAGAGGGGGCCUCUUAGUUGCAAAAGGGGUGAAGUUAGGGGGCUAAAAAGUUUUUUUUAGGGAACUUCUAUGGUACAUUCACAAUUUUGAAUGUACUGGUACUCUUG
rnacentral:lncRNA from 1 species